UUCCAGACUCCUACGGGAGGCAGCAGUGGGGAAUAUUGCACAAUGGGGGAAACCCUGAUGCAGCGACGCCGCGUGGGUGAAGAAGUCAUUCGUGACGUAAAGCCCUAUCAGCAGGGAAGAAAAUGACGGUACCUGACUAAGAAGCCCCGGCUAACUACGUGCCAGCAGCCGCGGUAAUACGUAGGGGGCAAGCGUUAUCCGGAUUUACUGGGUGUAAAGGGGGCGCAGACGGCAGCGCAAGCCAGGAGUGAAAGCCCGGGGCCCAACCCCGGGACUGCUCUUGGAACUGCGCGGCUGGAGUGCAGGAGGGGCAGGCGGAAUUCCUGGUGUAGCGGUGAAAUGCGUAGAUAUCAGGAGGAACACCGGUGGCGAAGGCGGCCUGCUGGACUGCGACUGACGUUGAGGCCCGAAAGCGUGGGGAGCAAACAGGAUUAGAUACCCUGGUAGGA
rnacentral:rRNA from 1 species